rnacentral:rRNA from 1 species
GAUGAACGCUGGCGGCGUGCCUAAUACAUGCAAGUCGAGCGAACUGAUUAGAAGCUUGCUUCUAUGACGUUAGCGGCGGACGGGUGAGUAACACGUGGGUAACCUGCCUGUAAGACUGGGAUAACUUCGGGAAACCGAAGCUAAUACCGGAUAGGAUCUUCUCCUUCAUGGGAGAUGAUUGAAAGAUGGUUUCGGCUAUCACUUACAGAUGGGCCCGCGGUGCAUUAGCUAGUUGGUGAGGUAACGGCUCACCAAGGCAACGAUGCAUAGCCGACCUGAGAGGGUGAUCGGCGCACCUGGUACUGAGACACGGCCCAGACUCCUACGGGAGGCAGCAGUAGGGAAUCUUCCGCAAUGGACGAAAGUCUGACGGAGCAACGCCGCGUGAGUGAUGAAGGCUUUCGGGUCGUAAAACUCUGUUGUUAGGGAAGAACAAGUACAAGAGUAACUGCUUGUACCUUGACGGUACCUAACCAGAAAGCCACGGCUAACUACGUGCCAGCCGCCGCCGUAACAC